AAGUCGUAACAAGGUUUCCGUAGGUGAACCUGCGGAAGGAUCAUUCACAAUGAGUGUUUAAUGGCACUCUAAAUCCAUUACCCACCUUGUGUGCAAUGUCGAGGGGGGAGAGGAGGGUAACACUCUUUUCUUCUCCCCCUUUUCAUACAUACCAAAAAACUUUCAAUAUCAGUCUACAUCUAUUUAGAGUAUAAAAAACUCGAAAUACAACUUUCAACAACGGAUCUCUUGGCUCUC
rnacentral:misc_RNA from 1 species